rnacentral:rRNA from 1 species
AACGAACGCUGGCGGCAUGCCUAACACAUGCAAGUCGAACGAAGGCUUCGGCCUUAGUGGCGCACGGGUGCGUAACGCGUGGGAAUCUGCCCUUGGGUUCGGAAUAACAGUUAGAAUGACUGCUAAUACCGGAUGAUGUCGUAAGACCAAAGAUUUACCGCCCAGGGAUGAGCCCGCGUAAGAUUAGGUAGUUGGUGGGGUAAAGGCCUACCAAGCCGACGAUCUUUAGCUGGUCUGAGAGGAUGAUCAGCCACACUGGGACUGAGACACGGCCCAGACUCCUACGGGAGGCAGCAGUGGGGAAUAUUGGACAAUGGGCGAAAGCCUGAUCCAGCAAUGCCGCGUGAGUGAUGAAGGCCUUAGGGUUGUAAAGCUCUUUUACCAGGGAUGAUAAUGACAGUACCUGGAGAAUAAGCUCCGGCUAACUCCGUGCCAGCAGCCGCGGUAAU